rnacentral:lncRNA from 1 species
CAGCAUAUCUUUUUAAAGAAAUAUUUUCCAGCCAAAUGGUGCAGCAGAGGACUUCCAGGAAUUUGUUCUUGUUCUGUAUCAAAGCUUUUUACAUGCUGCACCAAUACUGGGUCUAGCUGCAGCUUGGCUGGGUCGCAGAGGCUGAAGAGGGAGCUAAGCCUGGAGAGCUGGGUUAAGUCAGACAGACCCAAAAUCUCUUACACUGAGUCUCAACUUAUUGUCCCUUGUGACUCCAAGGUCAACUUCCCUUCCCUUUUGGCUGAGGAUCCAGGUCUGGCUAAAUGCAUGAGGAUUAAAUUCCUUAUCUAUCAGGAUCCCAUUGGCUCUCAGAUGCUUUGUGGUUCCCUCCAUCCAGAAGAUGAACUACUCCUUUUGACCGAGACUGGCCUAAUGUGGCUGAUUUUUUUUGCUGAGAAGAUGCUGCUCACUUAUGCCCCCCAUCUUUCAACUGUCUCACUGGCCACUCCACAUUCUCCCUAAUGGGGGCCCUGCAGCAGCCUCUGCUUGGCCCCCCUGCCUCCCAUCUGGCCCCCUCCAACCCACUCUCCACAUUGCAGCCAGAUUUAGUUUUUUUGCCAAAUCCAGCUAUGUCACUCGCCUAUCUAAAAUACACUUUUGGCUUUUCUCUGCCAAUUGAAUAAAACUCCAAAUUUCUUUUUUUUUUAAUUAUACUUUAAGUUCUAGGGUACAUGUGCACAACAUGCAGGUCUGUUACAUAUGUAUACAUGUGCCAUGUUGGUGUGCUGCACCCGCCAACUCGUCAUUUACAUUAGGUAUAUCUCCCAAUGCUAUCCCUCCUCCAUCCCCCCACCCCACGACAGGCCCUGGUGUGUGAGGUUCCCCACCCUGUGUCCAAG